GAAAAAAAAAACAAAAAAAUCAAGCCACCUAGGGGACUCGAACCCCUGACCUUAAGAUUAAAAGUCUCACGCUCUACCAACUGAGCUAAGGAGGCCACGGCG